rnacentral:lncRNA from 1 species
GUGAGGAUUAGAGAUGGCCAAUGGGCCGGGCGGCACGAGACACGGCACGGGCACGACAUGACACGAGCAGGUUUCGAUAGGGCAUGCAGCACAACACGCACGUGGGCCAUGCUGGGCCUAGAAUUUUAGGCAUACGAACCUUAAAAGUACGGCACGAUUAGAGAUGGGUCAAAGCACGGCACGCGAAAAGACACGUAAUAAGCACACUUCAUUAGUGGGCUAAGCACUCGACUCAUGGGCCAAAGUAUAUCAAAGUAAAAUUUUUUAAUGAAAAAUAAAAAUAAAAUAUCAUGAUUUUACAAAUAUCU